AACGAACGCUGGCGGCAUGCCUAACACAUGCAAGUCGAACGAACCCUUCGGGGUUAGUGGCGCACGGGUGCGUAACGCGUGGGUAUCUGCCCUUGGCUUCGGAAUAACAGUUAGAAAUGACUGCUAAUACCGGAUGAUGUCGCAAGACCAAAGAUUUAUCGGCCAGGGAUGAGCCCGCGUAGGAUUAGGUAGUUGGUGGGGUAAAGGCCUACCAAGCCGACGAUCCUUAGCUGGUCUGAGAGGAUGAUCAGCCACACUGGGACUGAGACACGGCCCAGACUCCUACGGGAGGCAGCAGUGGGGAAUAUUGGACAAUGGGGGCAACCCUGAUCCAGCAAUGCCGCGUGAGUGAUGAAGGCCUUAGGGUUGUAAAGCUCUUUUACCCGGGAUGAUAAUGACAGUACCGGGAGAAUAAGCUCCGGCUAACUCCGUGCCAGCCGCCGCCUAAUAC
rnacentral:rRNA from 1 species